rnacentral:rRNA from 1 species
AGUGAACGCUGGCGGUAUGCCUAACACAUGCAAGUCGAACGGCAGCACAGUAAGAUCUUGCUCUUACGGGUGGCGAGUGGCGGACGGGUGAGGAAUACAUCGGAAUCUACUUUUUCGUGGGGGAUAACGUAGGGAAACUUACGCUAAUACCGCAUACGACCUACGGGUGAAAGCAGGGGAUCUUCGGACCUUUCGCGAUUGAAUGAGCCGAUGUCGGAUUAGCUAGUUGGCGAGGUAAAGGCCCACCAAGGCGACGAUGCGUAGCUGGUCUGAGAGGAUGAUCGGCCACACUGGAACUGAGACACGGUCCAGACUCCUACGGGAGGCAGCAGUGGGGAAUAUUGGACAAUGGGCGAAAGCCUGAUCCAGCAAUACCGCGUGGGUGAAGAAGGCCUUCGGGUUGUAAAGCCCUUUUGUUGGGAAAGAAAAGAAGCAGGUUAAAACCCCGCUGUUCUGACGGUACCCAAAGAAUAAGCACCGGCUAACUUCGUG